AAUUUGUUCAUUUGGAAUCUGGGUUCUUCUACUUCAUAUUUAUUUAAUAUGAAUAUUUUCCCUCUCUUUUUUUAUAUCAUUCCUUAAGUCCCAUAGGUUUGAUCCUGUAGAAUUUGACCCAUUUUCUCAUUGAACGAAAGGUACGAAAUAAAUUAUAAGUAAGGGAUUAACCAGGUGUUGGAUGAGAAGCAGCCUAGGUGAGAUCCAUUUGAUCUGUUAGCUGCUAAUGGAUUCUAUCAUCAUUUCGACAGUGAAAUAAAUCUUCCGAAAGACAGCAAAGACAGUAGUAAGCCCUGGUAAGGAAGAAGGUUCGAUUCUAAGGGGUUUGAAUUAGCUCCUCCUGAUCGUAUCUCUCAAAAGAACCAAAUUAUGAAAACUCCUUUGUCUUAUUUAGACCCUUCUGAAAAAUCUACAUUACAUACUCUUUUUCUACGAGAUGCUGGGAAUCCCGUUGAGUUCUUACGCUUACAUGUUGACAACUCAAUUCAUUCGAUUACUAUAGGGAUGAACCCAAUCCGGA
rnacentral:lncRNA from 1 species